rnacentral:rRNA from 1 species
UACAGAGGGGGCAAGCGUUGUUCGGAAUUACUGGGCGUAAAGGGCGCGUGGGCGGCCUUCUAAGUCGAACGUGAAAUCCCCGGGCUCAACCCGGGAACUGCGUCCGAUACUGGAAGGCUUGAAUCCGGGAGAGGGAUGCGGAAUUCCAGGUGUAGCGGUGAAAUGCGUAGAUAUCUGGAGGAACACCGGUGGCGAAGGCGGCAUCCUGGACCAAUUCUGACGCUGAGGAGCGAAAGCCAGGGGAGCAAACGGG